AGGACGAACGCUGGCGGCGUGCCUAAUACAUGCAAGUGGAACGCAUGAUUGAUACCGUAGCUUGCUACACCAUUAAUCAUGAGUCGCGAACGGGUGAGUAACGCGUAGGUAACCUGCCUACUAGCGGGGGAUAACUAUUGGAAACGAUAGCUAAUACCGCAUAAGAGUUUUUAACACAUGUUAGAAAUUUAAAAGGAGCAAAUGCUUCACUAGUAGAUGGACCUGCGUUGUAUUAGCUAGUUGGUAAGGUAACGGCUUACCAAGGCGACGAUACAUAGCCGACCUGAGAGGGUGAUCGGCCACACUGGGACUGAGACACGGCCCAGACUCCUACGGGAGGCAGCAGUAGGGAAUCUUCGGCAAUGGGGGGAACCCUGACCGAGCAACGCCGCGUGAAGUGAAGAAGGUUUUCGGAUCGUAAAGCUCUGUUGUAAGAGAAGAACGUUGAGUAGAGUGGAAAGUUACUCAAGUGACGGUAUCUUACCAGAAAGGGACGGCUAACUACGUGCCAGCAGCCGC
rnacentral:rRNA from 1 species